rnacentral:rRNA from 1 species
GCUUUGUGGUUCAACUGAUAUGAAGAGCUUGCUCGGAUUUGAAGAUGAACAUUGCAAAGAGUGGCGAACGGGUGAGUAACACGUGGGAAACCUACCUCUUAGCGGGGGAUAACACUUGGAAACAAGUGCUAAUACCGCAUAAUACUGAUAACCGCAUGGUUAUCAGUUGAAAGAUGGUUCUGCUAUCACUAAGAGAUGGUCCCGCGGUGUAUUAGCUAGUUGGUAAGGUAAUGGCUUACCAAGGCAAUGAUACAUAGCCGAGUUGAGAGACUGAUCGGCCACAAUGGGACUGAGACACGGCCCAUACUCCUACGGGAGGCAGCAGUAGGGAAUCUUCCACAAUGGACGAAAGUCUGAUGGAGCAACGCCGCGUGUGUGAUGAAGGGUUUCGGCUCGUAAAACACUGUUGUAAGAGAAGAAUGACAUUGAGAGUAACUGUUCAGUGUGUGACGGUAUCUUACCAGAAAGGAACGGCUAAAUACGUGCCAGCAGCCGCGGUAAUACGUAUGUUCCAAGCGUUAUCCGGAUUUAUUGGGCGUAAAGCGAGCGCAGACGGUUGUUUAAGUCUGAAGUGAAAGCCCACAGCUUAACUGUGGAAGUGCUUUGGAAACUGGAUAACUUGAGUGCAGUAGAGGAGAGUGGAACUCCAUGU